rnacentral:tRNA from 2 species
GAUUCCUUAACUUAACGGUAGAGUGUAUUUUUGAUAAGAAUAAAAUCAGUGUUCGAUUCACUGAGGAAUUA